rnacentral:rRNA from 1 species
UACGAAGGGGGCUAGCGUUGUUCGGAAUUACUGGGCGUAAAGCGCGCGUAGGCGGUGAUCUUUGUCAGAGGUGAAAGCCCGGGGCUCAACUCCGGAAUUGCCUUUGAAACGGGAUCGCUUGAGUCCGAGAGAGGAUGGCGGAAUUCCUAGUGUAGAGGUGAAAUUCGUAGAUAUUGGGAAGAACACCGGUGGCGAAGGCGGCUCACUGGCUCGUAACUGACGCUCAUGCACGACAGCGUGGGGAUCAAACAGG